CCGGGCGUUCCGUCGCCCGUAGUCUAUCGGUGCAUGCGAGGCUGGCAACGGCAUCGUGUGAAGCCAUCGAGACAAAGAAGCUCGGCGCAAGCCACGCUGAAGUUGUGAGACCAAGGCGCUUCUGCAAGUGUCGCCGCGGAAGGAGAU
rnacentral:ncRNA from 1 species